GACGAACGCUGGCGGCGUGCUUAACACAUGCAAGUCGAACGGAAAGGCCCUGCUUUUGUGGGGUGCUCGAGUGGCGAACGGGUGAGUAACACGUGAGUAACCUGCCCUUGACUUUGGGAUAACUUCAGGAAACUGGGGCUAAUACAGGAUAGGAGCUCCUGCUGCAUGGUGGGGGUUGGAAAGUUUCGGCGGUUGGGGAUGGACUCGCGGCUUAUCAGCUUGUUGGUGGGGUAGUGGCUUACCAAGGCUUUGACGGGUAGCCGGCCUGAGAGGGUGACCGGCCACAUUGGGACUGCGAUACGGCCCAGACUCCUACGGGGGGCAGCAGGGGGGAAUAUUGCACAAUGGGCGGAAGCCUGAUGCAGCAACGCCGCGUUCGGGAUGACGGCCUUCGGGUUGUAAACCGCUUUCGCCUGUGACGAAGCGUGAGUGACGGUAAUGGGUAAAGAAGCACCGGCUAACUACGUG
rnacentral:rRNA from 1 species